rnacentral:rRNA from 1 species
GUGCUUACCAUGCAAGUCGAACGGUGAAGAGGAGCUUGCUCCUUGGAUCAGUGGCGAACGGGUGAGUAACACGUGAGCAAUCUGCCCUUGACUCUGGGAUAACUGCGGGAAACUGUAGCUAAUACCGGAUAUUACCUUGGAAGGCAUCUUCUGGGGUGGAAAGAAUUUUGGUCAAGGAUGAGCUCGCGGCCUAUCAGCUAGUUGGUGAGGUAAUGGCUCACCAAGGCGACGACGGGUAGCCGGCCUGAGAGGGUGACCGGCCACACUGGGACUGAGACACGGCCCAGACUCCUACGGGAGGCAGCAGUGGGGAAUAUUGCACAAUGGGCGCAAGCCUGAUGCAGCAACGCCGCGUGAGGGACGAAGGCCUUCGGGUUGUAAACCUCUUUUAGUAGGGAAGAAGCGACUGGGUUUUCCUGGGAGUGACGGUACCUGCAGAAAAAGCACCGGCUAACUACGUGCCAGCAGCCGCGGUAAUACGUAGGGUGCAAGCGUUGUCCGGAAUUAUUGGGCGUAAAGAGCUCGUAGGCGGUUUGUCGCGUCUGCUGUGAAAACCCGAGGCUCAACCUCGGGCCUGCAGUGGGUACGGGCAGACUAGAGUGCGGUAGGGGAGAUUGGAAUUCCUGGUGUAGCGGUGGAAUGCGCAGAUAUCAGGAGGAA